UUGAUCAGCGGAGAGGAAGGAUGGAAACGGGAGCGGGGCUCGAAAGAUUCCCCCGGCUCUCUCUGAGAGUGGAACGUUCCAGACGCUUCCCAGUCUCCCUCCCCCCCCACACGCCGAGAAGGCAGCUGGGGGCUUCCCGCGCGCCUUCCCGCCAGCCCGCUGGGGCGCGCGCCUCCUCCCGGGAGCGCGCACGUGGGCGGGAGCGGGUUCUGCGCCGACGCACGCGCACGAGCCGCCCCCUCCCCCGCAUCCAGCCGGCGUCUGCGACUGCACCGUUUGUAUGGGAAUUUCUCAGGAGUCAACACUCCAAGUGGGAUUAUUUGCGAUGAGGAUGGGGUAGUGAGCAGAAUUCCCCAUGUUGCUUCUUCUCGGUCCCUUAGGUACCCUCCCUCCUAGUUAGCUAAAUGUGCGCUGAGAAAUUGAGCAUGAAUAAGUCCUUUUAAACUGGCCGCAGGUGCCAGGCCUAUGCCAUUGGAGGGGGACAGGUGGAAAUAGCCUCAAAUUACCAGGCAAAGGACUUAAUGGCUCCCUAUUAGAGAGCAUUUAGCCAGAGAACGUGGGGUCAACUGGAAAAGAACAAAAAACUCUUGAGUCCGGCACUUCCCUAUCACAAAUAGGAAAACUAGCGCCCGCAGAGAAGUGGAGAUGGUGUCAAGGUCAUGUGGAAUGACUGGACUCCUUGAGUCAGGAGUGGUCUGUGGGUUAUAAAGAAACAAGCAAGGGCUGAGGGUGGGGAGGUGGACUUUGCUCGGUGUUGGAGCUAUAGAGGUCCUGGGUUCAUGACCAGCACGACAGAGGAAAGAAGGAAAGGAACAGGUGAAGAAUAAGAACCAUAGGGAGACCUCAAGGCCGGUGAGGAAGCUUUUGAAGGAAGCCCUUGUCUGAAAUGAGGACUUCUAGGCCAACCCACUUUGUCCUGAACUGGUUGGAUGAAUUCAGCCUCACCUAACAAUGACAAUGCUCAUUCUCAGUAGGUUCCCCUUCAGGCACCUUCCUGCUCUACCCAGACCACCCAAGGUGUGGGCAUCAGGCUCCCUUGGGAUAGUAGAAAAACCUUCCUCAUUCUCAGCUCUUUCUUUAAGCUGGAUCUCCCCCCACACUUAAUACAGAACUUGCAGUCCGGAUAGCUUUUCUAAGAAACACAGUUCAGGGGAAAAAAAGGAAGGUCCCUGAGGCCUGACUAGACCCGGGGGACUUGACGGUAACCUACAGGCUCUGUGGCCAAAAGAUGGAAAAGUGGUGCUUGGACCCAGGUGUUUUACCUUGAGUUAACCCACAUUCUUAUAUGUUGAAGUAACAGAAUCAGAGCUCUAGAGCUGUGUACAAACUAGAAAAACACUUCUCCUCCUCCUCUUCCUCCUCCUCCUCCUCUUCCUCCUUCUCCUCCUCCUUCUCUUUCUUUUAAGCCAUUUGCCACCUGAGUCAUCAAUCAGAUCAGGGAAGGCCUGAGGCAAGGGAACAGUGCAUGGGAAGCCAAAGUCCUCAACACCACAGUGGGGCAGCUACCAAGAUAAGGACCCAAAGACCCAAAGAAGAUUAAUGUGACUUGCCCUGAAGUGAUGGGUUUGGAACCAGAAUACAAAUCCUUCUGUUAGACAUUGUCCUCUACGAAGAAUAUUUAAAAGAAUUGGGAGAUUUCUCUCAGUGUGAUGAGUCAGUCUUUAUUAUCAACUUGACUGGAUUUGGAAUCACCUAGGAGACACACCUCUAGGCAUGUCUGUUAAGGUUGUUUCCAGAGAGGUUAAACUGAAGAGGAAAGAUCCACCCUGACUGUGAUCAGCAUACCCAUGGACUGGGGUCCCGGAGUGAAUGAAAAGUGGGGAAGGAAGUUGCAGGCUGAGUGCCAGCUUUAAUCUCUGUUUCCUGACUACAGGUAUAAUGUAACCAGCCACCUCCUGUUCCCACUGACAUGACUUCCAUGAUGGUCUGUAUCCCCUUAAACCGUAAGCCAAAAUAAACCUUUCUUUGCUUUUAA